rnacentral:rRNA from 1 species
CCUACAGGGGGCAGCAGUGGGGAAUAUUGGACAAUGGGGGGAACCCUGAUCCAGCCAUGCCGCGUGUGUGAAGAAGGCCCUCGGGUUGUAAAGCACUUUCAGUGAGGAAGAACGCCUGGUGGUUAAUACCCAUCAGGAAAGACAUCACUCACAGAAGAAGCACCGGCUAACUCCGUGCCAGCAGCCGCGGUAAUACGGAGGGUGCGAGCGUUAAUCGGAAUUACUGGGCGUAAAGCGCGCGUAGGUGGCUUGAUAAGCCGGUUGUGAAAGCCCCGGGCUCAACCUGGGAACGGCAUCCGGAACUGUCAAGCUAGAGUGCAGGAGAGGAAGGUAGAAUUCCCGGUGUAGCGGUGAAAUGCGUAGAGAUCGGGAGGAAUACCCGUGGCGAAGGCGGCCUUCUGGACUGACACUGACACUGAGGUGCGAAAGCGUGGGUAGCAAACAGGAUUAGAUACCCCAGUAGUC